rnacentral:tRNA from 1 species
GGCCGGUUGGAGUAGCUGGUUAUCUCGCAUCGUUAACAGCCUGUAGCAGUACAGCAAUUACCGAUGAGGUCGCCGGAUCGAGCCCGGCACUGGUCA